GACGAACGCUGGCGGCGUGCCUAAUACAUGCAAGUCGAACGCAGUGGGGACGGGUGAGUAACACGUGGGUAACCUCCCCUCAGAGGGGAUAACACUUGGAAACAGUUGCUAAACCGGUCCUGAUGGAUGGACCCGCGGUGCAUUAGCGAGUUGGUGAGGUAACGGCUCACCACGGCCACGAUGCAUAGCAGACCUGAGAGGGUGAUCUGCCACACUGGGACUGAGAAACGGCCCAGACUCCUACGGGAGGCAGCCGUAGGGAAGCUUCGGCAAUGGACGAAAGUCUGACCGAGCAAAGCCGCGGUAGUUAAGAAGGUUUUCGGAUCGUAAAACUCUGUUGUUAGAGAAGCGGUAUCUAACCAGAAAGCCAAGGCUAACUACGUGCCAGCAGCCGCGGUAAUUA
rnacentral:rRNA from 1 species